CCUACGGGAGGCAGCAGUGUGGAAUAUUGGACAAUGGGGGCAACCCUGAUCCAGCCAUGCCGCGUGUGUGAAGAAGGCCCUCGGGUUGUAAAGCACUUUCAGUGAGGAAGAACGCCUGGUGGUUAAUACCCAUCAGGAAAGACAUCACUCACAGAAGAAGCACCGGCUAACUCCGUGCCAGCAGCCGCGGUAAUACGGAGGGUGCGAGCGUUAAUCGGAAUUACUGGGCGUAAAGCGCGCGUAGGUGGCUUGAUAAGCCGGUUGUGAAAGCCCCGGGCUCAACCUGGGAACGGCAUCCGGAACUGUCAAGCUAGAGUGCAGGAGAGGAAGGUAGAAUUCCCGGUGUAGCGGUGAAAUGCGUAGAGAUCGGGAGGAAUACCAGUGGCGAAGGCGGCCUUCUGGACUGACACUGACACUGAGGUGCGAAAGCGUGGGUAGCAAACAGGAUUAGAUACCCCGGUAGUC
rnacentral:rRNA from 1 species